rnacentral:rRNA from 1 species
GAUGAACGCUGGCGGCGUGCUUAACACAUGCAAGUCGAACGGUAAGGCUCUGCUUUUGUGGGGUGCUCGAGUGGCGAUCGGGUGAGUACGACGUGAGUAAUCAGCCCUUGAUAUUGGGACAUCUUCAGGAAAAUGGGGCUAAUACCGGAUAGGAGCUCCUGUAUCAUGGUGUGGGUUGGCAUGUUUCGGUGGUUGGGGUUGGACUCGUGGCUUAUCAGCUUGUUGGUGGGGUAGUGGCUUACCAAGGCAAUGCCGAGUAGCCGGCCUGGGAGGGAGAGCGGGCACAGCGGGACUGGGAUACGGCCCAGACUCAGACGGGGGGCAGCGGCGGGAAAGAUGGCACAAUGGGCAGGAGCGUGAUGCAGCAGCGCCGCGGGCGGGAGGACGGCCAUCGGGUUGGAAACCGCUAUCCCCUGGUACGGAGCGAAAAUGACGGUAAUAGGUGAAUAAGCACCGGCUAACUACGUG